GACGAACGCUGGCGGCGUGCUUAACACAUGCAAGUCGAACGAUGAUCUCCCGCUUGCGGGGGUGCUUAGUGGCGAACGGGUGAGUAAUACGUGAGUAACCUGCCCUUGACUCUGGGAUAAGCCUGGGAAACCGGGUCUAAUACUGGAUACUACUUCCUGCCGCAUGGUGGGGGGUGGAAAGGGUUUUACUGGUUUUGGAUGGGCUCACGGCCUAUCAGCUUGUUGGUGGAGUAAUGGCUCACCAAGGCGACGACGGGUAGCCGGCCUGAGAGGGUGACCGGCCACACUGGGACUGAGACACGGCCCAGCAGCCGACGGGAGGCAGCAGUGGGGAAUAUUGCACAAUGGGCGGAAGCCUGAUGCAGCGACGCCGCGUGAGGGAUGACGGCCUUCGGGUUGUAAACCUCUUUCAGCAGGGAAGAAGCCACAAGUGACGGUACCUGCAGAAGAAGCGCCGGCUAACUACGUG
rnacentral:rRNA from 1 species